rnacentral:rRNA from 1 species
UUAAAGUUUGAUCCUGGCUCAGGAUGAACGCUACCGGCUGGCUUACCACAUGCAAGUCGAGGGGCAACGCUGAGUGCUUGCACUCCGGCCACCACCGGCGCACGGCUGAGUAACACCUAUGCAUUCCGCCCUUUCCCAAGGAAUUCCCCCCGCAACUGUGGAUCACUGCCUUAUGGUAUCCCAGAAGCCACUUGGCUUUUGAGCCUAAAAAUUUCGGCACAGAAUGAUUAUCCCUCCUACUAACUCUUUUGACCGGAAACUGCCUGAUAACGCUUGGAUCCGCCGGGUUACCGAGGGGGAGAUCCCCGAACUGGCCCAUACACACUCACCCAACACCUACGGCAGCCAACACGGCGGAAUAUUGCACCAUGGAAGCAAUCCGGAUCCAACCCUGCCGACCGCCUGCAUACGGGCCUCUGGAUUGGAUCCUGCUUGCUCCCAGGAACAAAAAUCCCUACCUGCCGCGUGCCGAAGGAACCGGGCCAGUAUCGAUCGGCCAACGCGGGGCAUCUCCCCCUCAUAACACCGACGAUCCAAUCGCUAUCCAGACUGAUUCGGUUCAUAGGGUCCAUAGGAGGCAUACUACGUCCGUGCCGAA